rnacentral:lncRNA from 1 species
UAUUCGAUGUUAUCUCACAUUAUUAUCUACAUAUGGCUACUUUAAGAGCAAAUUAAUGACAAACGGUAUACUCAUACCCAUCCAUCUACACAUAGAGGUCCAAGGCUAACCGGCUCGGUUUCAGAUUUCACCUCCCGUCGACAUACUUUUCGAUGCAGGUGAUGAGGGUGCUCUCCGGCACGGCGCCGAUCACCGCUUCCUUCUUCUCGCCGUUCUUGAAUAUCAUCAUUGUGGGGAUGCUCCGGAUGCCGAGCUGGGUCGCGAUGUCGGGGUUAUCAUCAGUGUUCAGCUUGUAGCAUUUCAGCUUCCCUUCAUACUCCUUUGAGAGCUUGCCGACGAUGGGGUCUAUCAUUUUGCACGGUCCGCACCAUGAGGCCCAGAACUGGACGAGGACGGGGAGCUCGCUCUCCACCACAAGCGAUUGCCAGGUAGAUUUGCUCACAUCAGGAACUGAAAAGGAAGCAGGUUUGGAGUAUGUAAGGUGGCACAUCAAUCACCAUAACAUAGGACAAAACAUAAACUACUCAAUGCUGCUUAUAGGGCCAAUAAAUUCCAAGUCAAAGUUGACGCAUAAUUAUUCUAAAAGCAGGCAAGAGAAAUUUACUGCUGUGCCAUUAACUAAAUGAAUGAACAGAAGUUCAAUUUAUUGAUUCUACCUUGCAUGCUUUUCUAAUCCAUUUCUUCGAAUAUAUCAUUCAAAUUCACAUACCAUUGCACAGAUGCUGCUUCUACUACGCUACGCCUAGCUUCACGCAUUAGGAUAUGUGCCAGAACUCUAAAGAUUCGCACAAACCUACCACAGCAUUAAAGAUUCAGCAACCAUAGCUUUCUAGCCCAAGAUGCAAUUCAUAAGCAUUUUUCCAAAGCUUAUGAGAAUAGGUCUUGUCAAAGCAAUUCAUAAGCAUAUUCAUUGUGUUUCGAUUAGGCAGUAUAGACUGUAAAUGAUGUAUGGCCAUGGUAUGCAUUCCACCAUGCAAGAUGUGAAAAAAUUCAUUACACUAUACAUCAUAUUCAAAACUAGGAACUACGAGAACAAUACUACAAUGUUGAUUUGAUUCUGCAACGUAUCAACUGAACAAAUGAUGCAUCUAAUCCAUGUUCUUCCCAGCUACUGCUAGCCUCAGGAGAACUUUAAGGCAGCUUUGAGCUUUGUACAGCAAUCUUUGCGCUUAGCCGGUAUCAAAGACUUAUUAAUGAGAAUGGAAGUAGAUGUCCUAACUUAUUGCAGUAUGAACAAGUUCUAUCAUAGCUGUUUGCUUAACCUUGAUUCAAUUUAGAGACAGGAAACGAUAGCAACAUUAAAGAAAGCAGUCACACUUAACCUAGCAGUUUUACCUUAAUGAAAUGGCUGGUAGCUCUCUUGCAGCCAAUUUUCAUAAAUGAAAUGAAAUCCAUAUAAAACAACCACAGGAUGACAUGGAAACAACAGUUGGGAUCCUAACAAUCACACCAUACCGUUGUGCUGUUACAAAAUUUCGUAAUAAUCCUAACCAAGAAUCAAUUUUCCACAUUCUAGUAACAGUACCAAUAUGACAAAUCUAUAAUAUACCAUGGUCUCUAAAAAAACCUAUAAUAUACCAAAUAUCCCAAAUUUGAAAUAGGGAAAUAUUUUCAUUGCUACAUUUCACAAUAUUCAAAUAUGGUUCAGCACAAGUGUACAGCAGUUACCAUCGAAGUUAAUGGCUAGCUAAAAUUAGAUUCAGAAUAAGAGUAAUACCAUGUUUCGACAAACACACUUAUGGUGAAAGCAUAAAUAGAGCUCUCUUCUUAUCUAAUUGUAUGACACGUUGCCUGUAUUUGGUCAACUUUAAAAAUGGCAUAGUCUCGUAUUUUUGGCGCGUGGCGCCAAAAGACAGUAUAAAACUGCGGCCAUAAAUGCUACGUUCAAUUUAUAACUUUCUUCACAGACCACAACAAAGCAAUGAUAUGGGAUGUUAACUGUUUAUAGGUUAAACUUCAAACUAACUUUCGUGCCUUUGCGUACAUGCAGAGGAAACCUAAAGCGCAUAGCCAUAUACAUGCAUUACAGAAUUAGUUACACAUGAUGCCUCAUGCACAUCUCCUGUUAAGUUUGAUAUGCACACAUAUCCAAAUACAUGCAUUGGUGCACACAGGUCUGCGCAGCACAACACGGUAGGUGAUGCAUGUCUUGUCGGAUACAUACAUACAUGCAUGCAGGGAUACAGAUACACAAAUUAGCCGCCAUGCCCUCACCAAUUAACGGCUGUUUGCUUCACCAUCUCAUCGUUAGAACUGCUCUAUGCCCUGCUGGCCUGCUAUUCCAACUUCCUAUUCGUCUAGAAACCAGUCCCAACUUCCAACUAACAAAAUUUGCGAAAAAAACCCUAACUCCGUUGAAACACUCACAAUCAAGCGGCGGAUCACUAACCCAAUUAAUAUUGCCUUAACGUCUUACUCGCAUCACAGGGCGGUUCCAGAAUCCAGAUCAGCGGCCCAGCGCCAUUUCAUCUCAGAUCGAUACAUAAACCAAAGCCUAAAAGCAGGAGAGUAACCUACACGAGGACCAAUUUACCUUGGAUGGCGGUGUCCUGGCCGCCCUGGGCCUGGCACACGACGGCCGCGCCGCGGGAGCUCGGGCGGGCGCGGAGCGCGCGGCGCGUCGGCGGGAGGCCGCGGCGGAGCGCGACGCUGGGCGGGGCGACGACGGCGGCGACAUGGGACGGCGACGAGGCGGGCGCGGCGACGGAGACGGAGACGGCGAGGUGGGAGGCCAUCGCGGCGGAUGGGGACGGGAGUGAGGAGGGAGGAGGCGAGGGGAAUCGGUGUGGAAGGGAAGGUGGUUGGGAGGGAGUUGGAGUGGAGGGGCGAGUUGUGAAGGUGCUAGGAGU